rnacentral:rRNA from 1 species
CCCUUAGAUGUUCUGGGCCGCACGCGCGCUACACUGAUGCAUUCAACGAGUUUUUCCUGGUCCGAGAGGAAUGGGUAACCUUUUGAAAGUGCAUCGUGCUAGGGAUAGACUAUUGCAAUUAUUGGUCUUCAACGAGGAAUUCCUAGUAGACGUAGUUCAUCAGACUGCAUCGAUUACGUCCCUGCCCUUUGUACACACCGCCCGUCGCUCCUACCGAUUGGAUGGUCCGGUGAAAUCUUCGGACCGGGCGAUAGUCAGCAAUGACCGUUGCCUGGAAAGUUGCUUAAACCUUACCAUUUAGAGGAAGGUGAAGUCGUAACA